GUGUUUAAUCAGGCUUACAGUUACACUAAUAAUAAUAUUUAUUCAGGAAGCUCCACUCACAGAAGUGGUUUUCAGGGAGGUCCUGAUCUAUAUUAUACAUGGCAUGGUAACUAUAUACUAUGCUAAUAUUUAGAAACUAUAAAAAUAUUUACAAGUGGUCCAUUAAGAUUGUUUCUGUUCAAUAGGUAAUGAGUUCCAUUCCGAUACCGAGUAAUAAAUGAAAGAAACAAUUAAAAAAAAAAGAUUAAAAAAAAUAAAUAAACGAUAAAUAACAAACGAUAAUAAACUAUUAAAGAGUUGAAAAUAUCUCUAUUCGGCAGACAGCUCUGUCCGAUGAUGCACAUCGGCAGAAACCCAUAAAUCAUAUAGGUAAGCUAAUUUUGUUGUAUUCUUCCGUUAACUGGGAUUACUGUAUAUAAUGAUGUGAUAUGUCAGCUAUAUCCAAAGUUGUUGAUAUAGACAUGCUACAAUCAUGAAAACUGACAAGCGUUAUCUAUCCAUGACACAAUUACACUGUCUAGUCAGACUAACGCCCGUAUUCUAAAAGCUCACUCACACUCAAUUAGUGGAGAUUCAAUCUGAGCUUCUCUUUAGUGUCAAUGGUAUUUUUGAAUAGCCGGAGGAAUAGUGUCGUACCUUACUAUGUGACUACUCACCCUCCAGCUAUUCAAAAACAGCAUUGACACUCAAAAGAAGCUCAGAUUGAACCUCCACUCAUUGAGUGUGAGUGUGAGUGAGCUUUUAGAAUACGGGCGUAAGACUAUUUGCAGGUGAUCUUCAGAUAACAGGUAAUGACUCGUUUGAUGCGUGUGAUUUAUCCACUGAGUUUGGAAUUGCAUCUGGGUUCAAAGGAUCAUCAGAUUCCACGGGCUCGUGCUCUUGUGCCGGCAAUGUGCUUGGUCCAGGAAGCAAGGAUUCUUGUGAAUCAAUAAUGCGCCUUUCUUCCUCAUCUUCAGCAGCU